rnacentral:rRNA from 1 species
UACGUAGGGUGCAAGCGUUGUCCGGAAUUAUUGGGCGUAAAGAGCUCGUAGGCGGUCUGUCGCGUCGGAUGUGAAAAUCCAGGGCUCAACCCUGGACCUGCAUUCGAUACGGGCAGACUAGAGUUCGGUGAGGGAGACGUGGAAUUCCUGGUGUAGCGGUGAAAUGCGCAGAUAUCAGGAGGAACACCGGUGGCGAAGGCGGGUCUCUGGGCCAUAACUGACGCUGAGAAGCGAAAGCAUGGGGAGCGAACAGG